CUACCAUGCAGUCGACGGUAGCACAGAGAGCUUGCUCUCGGGUGACGAGUGGCGGACGGGUGAGUAAUGUCUGGGAAACUGCCCGAUGGAGGGGGAUAACUACUGGAAACGGUAGCUAAUACCGCAUAACGUCGCAAGACCAAAGUGGGGGACCUUCGGGCCUCACACCAUCGGAUGUGCCCAGAUGGGAUUAGCUAGUAGGUGGGGUAAUGGCUCACCUAGGCGACGAUCCCUAGCUGGUCUGAGAGGAUGACCAGCCACACUGGAACUGAGACACGGUCCAGACUCCUACGGGAGGCAGCAGUGGGGAAUAUUGCACAAUGGGCGCAAGCCUGAUGCAGCCAUGCCGCGUGUAUGAAGAAGGCCUUCGGGUUGUAAAGUACUUUCAGCGGGGAGGAAGGCGGUGAAGUUAAUAGCUUCACCGAUUGACGUUACCCGCAGAAGAAGCACCGGCUAACUCCGUGCCAGCAGCCGCGGUAAUACGGAGGGUGCAAGCGUUAAUCGGAAUUACUGGGCGUAAAGCGCACGCAGGCGGUCUGUCAAGUCGGAUGUGAAAUCCCCGGGCUUAACCUGGGAACUGCAUUCGAAACUGGCAGGCUAG
rnacentral:rRNA from 1 species